CAAAACAAGAAGAAAAGUAAAGUGGAGAGUUCAUAUGGAAAUCCCAAUCAUAAUUCAUAACAACAGACGGCCAUUGACGUAACUGGCAAGCGCCAUUCCUUCCAAUCUGCGUGUCCGCAAAUUCUGCAAAAACAGAGACAUUCUUCAAAUUUUCUCACAUCAUUUUUCUUUCUUUCUUUAAUUGCAUUCCUUUGCUUUCACCAUCAACUUUCCCACUCCUCUCCACUCUUCUUCUUCUUCUUCUGCUCUCUGCCCAACUUCUUUCGCCGCCGCUGAUCAAUCCCUCAACUGGGUCUUCUUCAUUCUUCAUAACCCACCAUGCACUCCCCAAAUCGCCACUGUUUGAUGUUCUGAUUGUAGUUUCAGUUUCACGAGAUUCCAAUAUUUCACCGAUUUUCCUAUUUUCUCGGCCCGCUCUUCCCUCCGGCAGAUGAAAAUUAGGAUUUCUGGUUCGUUGGGUGCGAGGAGAAAAGCCGAUAAUCGGCGUGGAAUUGAAGGGUAGCGCCCCAAAAGGCUGAUUUCGAUUCUAAUCAAGAUGCAAUCCAGAGUUCUGCCAUUGGAGGAAGGUAAAGACCCUGGACCUGUGAGCCGGACGAACCAAGCUAGGCCGUUGCCCUUGAGGUUACUUCAGCUAUUCGGGUUGUUUCUGCUUCUUUGCGUUGCAUUUUCGAUUGUUAGUUUAUAUAUGAUCCGUCAUUUUGGAAUUGAGAGCGCUGUGACGACGGCGAAGGCCAAUUUCCUUCCCUGUUUUGAGGCGUCGAAUAUUAGUUUAGGUCAGUGGAUUAAGGCUCCUGCGGAUUUGACGCACGCCAUGACCGACGAGGAGUUGUUUUGGAGAGCCUCGUUUGCUCCUCGGAUUCGAAACUACCCUUUCAAGAGGGUUCCGAAGAUUGCCUUUAUGUUCUUGACUAAAGGGCCAUUGCCGCUUGCUCCACUCUGGGAGAGAUUUCUGAAGGGACAUGAAGAGUUGUUUUCAAUUUACAUUCAUUCUCUGCCUUCGUUCAGGCCCAACUUUACACGUGCUUCUGCGUUUCAUGGGAGACAAAUUCCCAGCCAGAUUGCGGAAUGGGGAAGAAUGAGUAUGUGCGACGCUGAGAAAAGACUCCUAGCCAAUGCGCUGCUCGACAUUAACAACAAGUGGUUCAUUCUCGUCUCCGAGUCGUGCAUUCCUCUCUAUGAUUUUGGUGUCAUAUACAACUACUUGAAGAAAUCCAAAUAUAGCUUUGUGGGUUCGUUCGACGACCUUGGCCCUUACGGUAGAGGACGAUACAGGUCUUACAUGGCACCAGAGGUGAACAUCACAGAAUGGCGUAAAGGCUCCCAGUGGUUUGAAGUCAACCGCAAGCUCGCACUCGACAUAGUGCAGGACACCAAAUUUUACCAGAAAUUCGAACAAUUCUGUAGACCGCCAUGCUACGUCGACGAGCACUAUUUUCCAACCAUGCUCACAAUAGAAGCUGGAGAAGUUUUAGCCAACAGAAGCCUCACGUGGGUGGAUUGGUCCAGAGGAGGCGCUCACCCCGCCACAUUCGGAGGACACGACAUCAAAGAAGAGUUCUUGGAAAGAGUUUUGGUGGGUCAGAACUGCAGUUACAACGACCACGCCUCCUCUGUUUGCUAUCUCUUCGCGAGAAAGUUUGCACCGAGUUCGUUGCAGCCUUUGCUACAUUUAGCAAAGGAAUUCUUUGGAUAUUGAAGAAUAAUUUGGUAAAUGAGGAGAAUAGAGAAGCAGGGCAUGGGCAGUAGAGUUCUAAUCUAUACACACAUAGUAGGCAACGGAUGAACACUAAUUAUCUGGAGAUGGGAUUCUCAGAUUUUCAUUUUUUUUUAUGUUGUCAAACACAAGGCAGCUGACUAACCCAAAAGACGAUACAAAAAAUUCGGUGUUGAAUGUUGAUAGAAUAUGGAAGUGGAGGUGUGUUUCGAAAUGUAAUAUCUUAUUGAAGAGAAGAGAGUGUUAAAUAAAUGAAAGAUGUUGUGUAGAGCAGAAUGCAGAAUACAGAUGCAGAGAAGCAAAUGUGAUGGUUUUCCUUUUUCAAAGAAAGCGAUUUUUGAAGUUGUGUGCACAUGACAAGCACUUUUUAAAGAAGUGGUCACGCUUGCUUGCGAACAUUCCAAGCGACAAGCGUCCAAAUGCGCACGACUUUUUGGAAAAAAGAAAUGUGUUUUUUAAUCUGAUCAAGCUCUGCUGUUUGUUUGCUAUGAAACUGAAAUUUGAGAUGAAGAAUCUGUUUCUUGGAAGGGGCCAUCGUGAGGCCCAUAACUUGAAAUAUUUUGGGCUGGAAAAGAGCAAAAACGUUGGCCCAGCUUUUGCUCGACAGAAGGCUUUUCCAAUCUCCGACGCCGUAUGCAGUGCACGGCCACGGCCGUCGGCCAGCUCCUCCUUCGGCUUCCAAUGGCGGCACAGUUCUGAUCUCUAAUGUUCAUGACCUCAUGAGCUAGCUCUAAAUCUUCGCAAGGUUUAUGACCAAAUUCCACAGCCUUGGUGGGUUAUUAUCUCGAAGGGAAGCUGCACCAAUGGCGGUGGAUAUUAUCAAGCUACGGCAGAGGCGUUACUGUAUGGAAUUCUACAGCUGCAGAAGAAAAUCAACGGACGCAAAGAUUUCCUCCAUUGGUGGUUUUCAAGUUUGUGGUUCAGACCGGGAUUUUCAGCCCAUUGGAGUUUACGUUUAAAUGUUUAAUUUAUUCUUAAGUUUAUUUUUAUGUUGAUCUAAUUUUGGUUUUUUGAGCAAACCCCAGAUUCUCAAUUGAAGUUGACGGACUAGCUAAAUAUAUCCUUGUCCUUGAUAAUUUUGUAAUUUUUAAAAUUCCUUCACAAUGUUUCUUUC